GCAUAUCAUGAUGCUUGACAAAUCACAUAUAACCAUGGAGAGUGUAUAGGCAAUGACCAUAAUAAAUCUAGUAAUUCCUCCUUAAUAAAAUAGAUGUUACAUGUUGAUUUUUCUUGAUGUAGUACUUUGACCAUUAAUAACUUUGAUUGUGUAUGAGUGAAAAAAUUAUAAGAAGUUAAGAUUAUAAAAGUAUAUAUUGAGACUAAUCCAACAAUAUAUUAUAUAGUAAAGAUUAAUUUUAUCUAAAACUAAAAAAAUGCAUGGUCAAAUAUAGUAGAUGAAUAAUGCAAUUUUUCAAAGUGUAACAUCUAUUAUAUUAUGGAGGAAAUAUUUCAUAGAUUACCAUACAUGAUACAUAACCACAUAAGAUUAUAAAUUAAUAAAAUACAUGUGUGAGAUUCAUAUUGCAAGCCGACUAAGGGCCUGUUCGGCAAAAGUAGCUGUUGGGUAGCUGUUGGCUGUUGGAGUAGCUGUUAGCUGUUCGGGUAGUUGUUAGCUAUCGGCUAGUAGCUGUUAGCUCUUAGCUGUGAAAGUAGUUGUUUACAAUAUAAGUGUUCGGUAAAAGUAGCUGUUAUGCUUAUAUAUGAUAAAAAUAACAUAUUUUUUAAUUAUAAUAUAUUAUAUGAUUAAUUAUUAUUGAUUAUUUUAUGGUUAAAUUAAAUUUCAAUAUAUGAACACAAUGCAUUAUUUUUCUUUUACUAUGAUGUCCUUAAAUUUGUUUAUGUAUAGUUUUGUCUUUUUAACUAGAUCCCACUCCAUUUAAUACUUGUACUUCUAUUUCAUCUCUCAUAUUACUUCCAAUAAAAAUCAACUAGCUAUACUUGUUGGAAUUCUCUGGAGAUUUCAUGCUUGAAGAUGAAACUUUCUGAAUUCUCUCUUUUCUAAUUUCAGAUCUGGAUUCUCAAAUUUUUUUUUUCUCUUUCCUUCACUUAACUCUCAAACAUUUCAGAUUAUCUUCUUCGUUUUCAUUGUUCUGUGCUUCUUCUUCUUCUUUUUUCCAUUCUUUUUCCCCCAAACAUGUCCUUUUGUGGUUAAUCUUUCUAGGAUUCACAUUUUUCCUCUAAUAUGAGUAUAAAGUGGUCAAUUUUUUUUCUCUUUCAUUCAUUUAACUCUCAAACAUUUCAGAUCAUCUUCUUCGUUUUCAUUAUUCUGUGCUUCUUCUUCUUUUUCCCCCCAAACAUGUCCUUUUGUGGUUAAUCUUUCUAGGAUUCACAUUUUUCCUCUAAUAUGAGUAUAAAGUGGUCAAAUUUCGAAGAUGAUGGUAUUUUUCGGAUGUAUCUUUCAUUUCAUACGAGUUUUUUUUUUUAUUAUUUUGAAAGAUCUUUUCAUACCAGAAGAUAUUUCAGGAAAAGUGAAGAAGAAAUAGCACCAAAGAUAUGUUUCCAGAAAUUGAUUAUAUUUUGGAAAAUACUUGUGCGAUUUACUGGUAUUCCCAAAUUAAUCCAUAAAAAGUGAAAUUUUUUAUUAUAUAUUCAGGGUCUCAGAGGAAUUUAGGUAGAAGAUGAAGAAUUUUCUCAAAUUUUUGGUAUUUUUUUCCUUAAAAAACAGAAAAAAGAACUUGGAACGCUAUCUUGGUAUAUUGAACGUCAUAUUUUGUAGCGUUCAUGAAAAGCUGGCAAAAAGCUACUUGAAACACUAAUAACUACUUCAAUCUCUGGCAUGCCAAACACACAAUUAGUGUUUUGACUAAGUCAAAACACUAAAAGCUACUCGAAAAGCUGUCGCCGAACACGCCCUAAAUGGUGCACUUGCAAGUUGCGACAAAACUUAAACUAAGAAUUCAUCAUCUCAAAUGACAAAAUGGGCGAACCCUGAAAUACAAAAUGAUAAUCUAUUGAGGCCUAGUAGAGUGUUUGGACGAGGAAAUAUGGAGAUAAAAAAAAUACGAAAACAUCUACUUCCCUCAUUUUUUAAUAAUUGUAAUAUAUUGACUUUUACACUAUUUACAUACCUAAUCAUUUUUAUUAAUAACAUAUAUAAAUUAAAUAUCACUAGUGGAAAAAUAAAGAAGGGCUGCGCUAAAAAGGCCCUUAGGGUUGCGCUUUUUGACAGCAACCCUUUUAAUAGCAGUCUUUCACUUUUUAAGUAGGGCUGCGCUUUUUAAGCGCAGCCCUUCACUUUUUAAGUAGAGCUGCGCUUUUUAAAUAAAAAUGCAGCCCUUUUGACAUAAAAAAAAUAAUUUUUUUUUUUUUUUUUUUUGCAUUUUUUUUACUCCUAAAUAUAUCUACUCAUGUUGAUAUUGUUUAAACAACACAAAUUGUUUUAUAUUAAAUGGUAAUUCAAUCUAUAUCAUAUAAGCAAAUACUGGUUUGCAUAAUCCACAAAAACAAACAUCGAAAUGGUAGCAAGCAUAGAUUUGCAUAAUCCAAAAAAAAAAACAUCAAAAAAAAAAAAACAGAAAAAUACAACAAAGAAAUGAAUACAAACCAAAAAAAAACAGAAAUUAAUAUCCUGAAAAGAAAAAUCGAAAAAAAACUACAUCAGAAUUACAAAAAAAAAAAACAUAGAUCUAUAACUCGAAAGGCGCAAACGACAGUACUGAAUACAACUGUAUAACAAAAAACAUCAGAAAUGAAUACAACAUAUAUGUAUUGCUUAAUUAAUUUUACAAUAUUAAAGAAAAAAAAAAGAUCUAUAAUCUAUUAGCCCUUCACUUAACGAAGGGCAGAGGAGGAAACGACGAGGCAAGGCGGUUUUUGCGCGACGGUGGUUGAGGGAGAAGGUGGUUUUUGCGCGACGGUGGUUGAACGAACGACGCGGCAAGGCGGUUUUUGCGCCACGGUGGUUGAACGAACGACGAACUCGCGAGCCACGGUGGUUUUUGCACAGAUGGAGAAGGUGUUGAACUCGAAAACGAAUGACUGAGAACUUUGUGAAGGAGGACUUCCGGCAGGUUAUUCUAGAAAAAAAGAGAGGAGAGAAAGAAGAGAAUGAGAGAAAGGGAGAAUGAGGACGGCUGAGGGUCGUGAGGGAGAGAGAGAGGGAGGAGAGAGAACUUAGGGUUUUGAUGUUUUGAAGAAGGAAGAGAAUGGGCUUGGACUUUUGGUGUAUUAUUGAGCGCGCGAAUUUAAGUGAAGUUUUUUUUAAUAUACAAAAGCCCAUAAAGGGCUACGCUUUUUU